rnacentral:lncRNA from 1 species
AAACCAAAAAGCUAUACAGUGUAUUCUAUAAAUAUAUUUUGUAAAUGUGCGUGCAAGGUUGAAGUGGAACAAGGCUUGAAGAAAUAACUUCUGCAUGUCAUCUCCAUCAAACAGGUAAGAGCAUCACUGCCACUGAGAUUUCAUCACCACGUUUUCCAGAAAGAAGAGAGCAAAAGUUUAUCCGUGGAUGCCCAGGAAUCUUCUUGCUUGCUUUUGAGAGACUGGUUUUAAGAUGGAAAUCAGGACUGAAAUAAUAAAGCUGCCCUGGGGCUGAGUGGGAUUAAAAUAUAAAGCCUUGGAUUCCUGUCGACCAAUAGUCAGCUAAAAGAUUUUGGGUGCUCUCACGCUCUCCACAGCGCCCCACGAGGCCAAACGGGGCAAACUCAAGCCCUGCCUUCAGCGUCCCAACUAAGGCGCUUCAGUCCCUCACCAAAACCGAAUUCCCACGGCAUGCAAAAUGACCAAAAAAGUGGAAAAGAGCAACUCAAUCAAGGUUUAGAGGGGAAAUUCAGAUAGAACUGUUUGAGACCAGAUUUUCUGCUUUGGAUUCUUGUUGUUUUUAUUCGUUACUUAGAAGAAAGUUCUAAGGAGAAAAGAAGAUGUAUGCAUUGUAUGCAUACUUAGGAAAAGAAAUUUCCUUUUAUAACAACACAUCAUUUUGUAUAAAAACCAAUAUAUCAGGAAAAUAAAAUGUUAGAGAAUGUUGUAUAAUAAAGCA